rnacentral:rRNA from 1 species
UACGUAGGGGGCGAGCGUUGUCCGGAAUCAUUGGGCGUAAAGCGCGCGUAGGCGGCUCGGUAAGUCUGCUGUGAAAGUCCAGGGCUCAACCCUGGGAUGCCGGUGGAUACUGUCGAGCUCGAGUCCGGAAGAGGCGAGUGGAAUUCCUGGUGUAGCGGUGAAAUGCGCAGAUAUCAGGAGGAACACCAAUGGCGAAGGCAGCUCGCUGGGACGUGACUGACGCUGAGACGCGAAAGCGUGGGGAGCAAACAGG